rnacentral:misc_RNA from 1 species
UCUCCGUUGGUGAACCAGCGGAGGGAUCAUUACCAGAGUGCCAUAGGCUCUCCAACCCACUGUGAACAUACCUAACGUUCCCUCGGCGGGCUCAGCGCGCGGUGGCCUCCGGGCCCCGGGCGUCCGCCGGGGACAACCAAACCCUGAUUUAAUCGUACUUCUGAGUGGCACAAGCAAAUAAUUAAAACUUUUAACAACGGAUCUCUUGGUUCUG